GGUGUAGGCUGCUAUGCUGGCCUGGAACAACGACUUUCACCUCUCUAAAACCGGAAUGGUUUUGGUAAACACUGCUUUUAAGAUAAAAUAUUUUUGGUGACCACUCGUUUUGAGUGGAGGCUGAAUGAGGGCCACUGCCAAGUCAGGCCCAAUCGUAGAGUUUUUAAAAUGUAGGCCUAAUAUUAUAUUUGGCGCAAUCUUUUUCCUUCUAUAGGAAAACAAGGGGUACUGUUGUAGCCUACUCAGUCUGCUACGCCCUCUUGUGGCAGAAAAAAAAGUCUUUCCACUUUUCUCCAAUAUGGCAAGGAACGCCCACCAGGAACGCCCACCAGAAACGGCCUAGAGAGAGUCUGCAGUCACACAUUUUCUAUUUUCGCGCGCUAAUCUCAUCCGUUACUAAUCCAAACUAGUAACGUCGACGUGGCCCGCGAGCUAGAUGUAAAUAUUGACGAAUUGGAAAUUUAUCACACAUGUUAUGGAGACAAGUUGCUUCUCUGAUAUCGACAAUGACUCGGCGUCAAUUGUUGGUGAUUCUGAAGGAGAAGAAGAAACAAAUCUUUACCUGGACAGAUUGAUGCUUGCAGAUUUGCUAGACUCGCCCUACUCAUAUAAUUUAUCCACACCACACACCAUCAAUGGCUGUACAGACGGGUUUUCUCCUCAGAUAGCGAUGUUGACUUGUAGACGUUUGGAUGGCUUGGACCAAGUGCGUCUCACACCUGAAAAGAUCCAAUCCCCAUUUUUGUCAAGGAGUUCUGGGAAUCCAGAUGACGAGAAGGGAAUGGACGGUGUAAUCGCUCAAGGACAUGAUGGAGGUGUGUGUGUGUUUGUGUGUGAGUGUUCAAGGCUGCCGCGCUAGCAGGCAUUUGCACAUAUUACACUCUGAAUGUGUGCCUGCCCUGUCUAGUCCUACUGAAGACUAUUCAUUUAUGGUAGUUUAUCACCAGUUGUAGAAUGAAGCAACUGCUUUUGGUGGCACUUACAGUAUCAAUCAAUGAAUCAAUCAAAUGUAUUUAUAAAGCCCUUCUUACAUCAGCUGAUGUCACAAAGUGCUGUACAGAAACCCAGCCUAAAACAG